rnacentral:rRNA from 1 species
AAUCUGGUGCCAGCAGCUGCGGUAAUACCAGCUCCAAUAGCGUAUACUAAAGUUGUUGCAGUUAAAAAGCUCGUAGUUGGACUUGUGUGCGCUGUCCGCGGGUGGCCUGCGCCCAAAAGGGCGUUUCGGUUCGGCCCCGGUGGCGCCUUGAAAUCUGCAGCUGGGGGGACGUUGGCCUUAACUGGUCGGCGACCGCACGCCGGCUGCUCGGUUACUGUGAGAAAAUUAGAGUGUUCAAGGCAGGCAUUGGGUGCAAUUGAAUACAUUAGCAUGGAAUAAUAAAAUAUGGCUCCUGCCGUAUUUUGUUGGUUUUGACUGGUGGGAGUAAUGAUUGAUAGGGACGGUUGGGGGUGCUAGUAUUGAGCGGCCAGAGGUGAAAUUCAUGGAUUCGCUCAAGACUAACUUAUGCGAAAGCAUUCACCAAGGACGUCCUCUUUAAUCAAGAACGAAAGUUGGGGGAUCGAAGACGAUCAGAUACCGUCGUAGUCUCAACCAUAAACUAUGUCGACUUGGGAUCGGCGGUAGUUUUUUCAUUAAGACACUGUCGGGACCACGGGAGAAAUCAAAGUGUCUGGACUCUGGGGGAAGUAUGGUCGCAAGGCUGAAACUUGAAGGAAUUGACGGAAGGGCACCACCAGGAGUGGAGCCUGCGGCUUAAUUUGACCCAACACGGGGAAACUUACCAGGUCCAGAGAUGUAGAGGAUUGACAGAUUGAAGCUCUUUCUUGAUCACUUCGGUGGUGGUGCAUGGCCGUUCUUAGUUGGUGGAGUGAUUUGUCUGGUUAAUUCCGUUAACGAACGAGACCUCAGCCUGCUAGUGUAGUCGGCUGGAUUGCCUUUGGCGAUCCGUGAUUUCGACUUCUUAGAGGGACAAUCGACGCGCAGUCGAUGGAAGUUUGAGGCAAUAACAGGUCUGUGAUGCCCUUAGAUGUUCUGGGCCGCACGCGCGCUACACUGCUGGGCUCAGCGAGUUUUACUUGGCCGAGAGGCCCGGUUAAUCUUGUGAAAUCCCAGCGUGCUUGGGCUCGCCUCCUGCAACUGGAGGCGCCAACGAGGAAUUCCUAGUAGACGCAGGUCAUCAACCUGCAUCGAUUACGUCCCUGCCCUUUGUACACACCGCCCGUCGUUCCAUAAGAGUGAGGCAUCCGGUGAAUUCUCGGGAGAGCCUGGGCGUGGCCAGCAAUGGUCUGCUCGGGUUUGAACUUGCAUAAACUUGGUGCCUAUGAUUAGGG